rnacentral:rRNA from 1 species
GUGUAUGACCAUAUCGCCCUGAACAUGCCUAACCUCAUCUGAUCUUGGAAGCAAAGUAGAGUCAGUUCUGGGGAGUUCUUGGAUGGGACACGACUAGGAAAUACCAAGGAUCUCCAGG